GACGAGGGGUCCAAGCGUUGUUCGGAAUUAUUGGGCGUAAAGCGGGUGUAGGUGGUUCUAUAAGUCAGGAGUGAAAGCCCCGAGCUUAACUUGGGAAGUGCUUUUGAUACUGUAGAACUUGAAUGUGGGAGAGGAUCGUGGAAUUCCAGGUGUAGUGGUGAAAUACGUAGAUAUCUGGAGGAACACCGGUGGCGAAGGCGGCAUUCUGGACCGAUAUUGACGCUGAGGAGCGAAAGCCAGGGGAGCAAACGGG
rnacentral:rRNA from 1 species